UCGCGGCUUAUCACCGGCAGUCCCCUUAGAGUGCCCAACUGAAUGAUGGCAACUAAGGGCGAGGGUUGCGCUCGUUGCGGGACUUAACCCAACAUCUCACGACACGAGCUGACGACAACCAUGCACCACCUGUACACCGACCUUGCGGGGCGCACAUCUCUGCGGCUUUAGCGGCCAUGUCAAACCCAGGUAAGGUUCUUCGCGUUGCAUCGAAUUAAUCCGCAUGCUCCGCCGCUUGUGCGGGCCCCCGUCAAUUCCUUUGAGUUUUAGCCUUGCGGCCGUACUCCCCAGGCGGGGCAUUUAAUGCGUUAGCGUCGGCACGGGAGGAGUCGACACCUCCCACACCUAAUGCCCAUCGUUUACGGCGUGGACUAC
rnacentral:misc_RNA from 1 species